AGAGUUUGAUCAUGGCUCAGGAUGAACGCUGGCUGUGUGCCUAAUACAUGCAUGUUGGACGAAGCUAAAAGUGCUUGCACUUUAAGACUUAGUAGCGAAUGGGUGAGUAACACGUACUUAACCUACCCCUAAGUUUGGGAUAACGUUUGGAAACGAACGCUAAUACCGAAUACGUAUUUUUAUCGCAUGAUAGAAAUAUAAAAGGAGCUUCGGCUUCGCUAGGGGAUGGGAGUGCGCUACAUUAGUUAGUUGGUAGGGUAAUGGCCUACCAAGACUAUGAUGUAUAGCGGGGCCGAGAGGCUGGUCCGCCACACUGGGACUGAGAUACGGCCCAGACUCCUACGGGAGGCAGCAGUAGGGAAUUUUCCACAAUGAACGAAAGUUUGAUGGAGCGACACAGCGUGCAGGAUGAAGGUCUUCGGAUCGUAAACUGCUGUUAUAAGGGAAGAAAAACUUCAGUAGGUAAUGACUAGAACUUGACGGUACCUUAUCAGAAAGCGACGGCUAACUAUGUGCCAGCAGCCGCGGUAAU
rnacentral:rRNA from 1 species